rnacentral:lncRNA from 1 species
CGGAUGGCGUUGGGGAGGUUCGUUCGCUGGAGGAGUCUGGAAGAUCCUGUGGAAGUUCGAUUGGCGUUGUUGAAGUCCGGUUGACACUAUUGAGGGUUGAUCGCUGGGGAGGUAUGGCAGACACCGGAGGCGAUCGACGGUUGUAGAAAUCCAGCUGCUGGAGCCCAUCUAUUGUAGAAGUUCAUCUGGAAUCCAUCUGCUACAAAAGGUCAGGCAGAGUCCGAUUCUUAUAGAAGUCCGGAUGGGGACCGUUUAUUGAAGAAGCUCGGCUGAAGUCUACCUGUAAUAGAAGUUUGAAAGGAAUUCAUUUACAGUAGAAGCUCAGAUAGAAUUUACUUAUAGUAG